UACAGAGGUGGCGAGCGUUGUUCGGAUUUACUGGGCGUAAAGGGCGCGUAGGCGGUACAGUAUGUCGGGUGUGAAAUCUCCAGGCUCAACCUGGAAAGUGCGCCCGAAACUGCUGAACUAGAGUACGGGAGGGGAGAUCGGAAUACAUGGUGUAGCGGUGAAAUGCGUUGAUAUCAUGUAGAACACCGGUGGCGAAGGCGGAUCUCUGGAACGUAACUGACGCUGAGGCGCGAAAGUCGGGGGAGCAAACAGG
rnacentral:rRNA from 1 species